AUGCGUGGGACCUGCACAGGACGUACCGGAUUGGGGAGGCGCACUAGAGGCCUAGUGCAUGGAGCUGGCACAGGACGUACUGGGCUGUGGCGACGUACUGGAGACCUAGCGCGUAUAGCCGGCAUCAAUGGUACCGGUUCGAUGACACACGUGCGAGGAGCUGGUUCAGGAUGUACUGGGCUGUGCAGGCGCACUGGAGACCUGGUGAGUAGAACCGGCACCGGACAAGUGACACGCUCCUCAAGGCGAGUGUGGAGAGCUAGCACAGGAUGUACAGGGCUGGGAAGGCGUACUGGGGACCUGGUGUGUGGAGCCGGCACAACUUUCCCCAGACUGAUAGCACGCUCCUCAGGACGAGUACGGAGAGCUGACUCAGGUGGCAUUAAACCGAUAACACGCUCCUUAGGGCAAAUGUCGUGCAUCCUCCACCAAUUCAAUAACUCUCAUUUCUCUCUCCUCCAAAUUCUCCCUCAACUCACUGACGGCCUCCGAUUCUCUCCGUUCACUCUCCUCCAGUUUCUCCCUCUUCUCCCAGACUGGCUCUGGUUCACUCCUCGGCUCCGCCGACCACCCCUUGUGCCCCCCCCAAAAAAUAUUUUUGGGCUGUUUUUUGGGCUUUCUAUGUGGCCGCAAACCCCGGCGUCGUCGCUGUCUUCCAUCAUAACCUUCCGUCUGCCGCUCCUGCCAAGGAAGGUGAUCCUGUCCAGCCAGGAUUUCCUCCCAAGUCCAGGAUCCCUUCCCAUCCAGGAUCUCCUCCCAAGUCCAGGAUACACUCUCCUCCUGGGCACGCUGCUUGGUCCUGUUGUGGUGGGAUCUUCUGUCACGAUCGCCGUAAUGAUUGGACCAAGGCGCAGCAUGAGUAGCGUUCCACAUCUUUAUUAUAACGUGAAACUUCAGCAAAACACAAAAACAAUAAAUGAUCAAACGAAACGUGAAGACAGUGAGGUGCAAACAGGCACCUACACAAAAACAAGAUCCCACAAAACACAGUGGGGAAAUGGCUGCCUAAAUAUGAUCCCCAAUCAGAGACAACGCUAA
rnacentral:lncRNA from 8 species